UGUAAACAUCUUUAACUGAAAGCUUUACCUGACAAAUAUAACUUUCAGUUAGAUGUUUAUGUU
rnacentral:pre_miRNA from 1 species